AAUCACUUGAAAUCUACCUUUUUUACUGUUAAUGUAAAUGUAAUUUAGCAUAAAACACCAUGUUACAACGUAUUUACCUUUAGCAAGAACUUUUUUCCGUUGCUUGUUUGGCUGAUUAAACAUGUAUAAGUCUCAAUUGUCUUCUUUAAAAUCCUAUGAAUUCAGAUUAAUGUUUGACAUGUUUACUUAUUCGUCGAUUCUCCAUUGCUAUACAGUCUGUUCACCGUACAGACCUAGGGAGUGAUUCAGCCGCAAACGAAGGAAGAAACUUCUUACGAAACCAGCUAUGCUGAGUUGAUAAUUUCAUCGUUGUAGCAAAGUCUUUAAACAUCAUACAGAAGUUCAGAAAUAAUAAAAAGGGAGAAGUACAUCCUAACUGUAUCGUGGUGGAUACCAAAGAACACCUGAAGAUCCGCUCUCUUUAAACAAUGCUCUUUUGUUUAUCAAAUACGGAUUUAUGCUAUGGAGUUCUUUUAGCAACAAUCAAACUGCCACUGUCAAAACUGUACACAAUUGUUUUGGAAAAAUUCUCCGAAUGCAUAAUGUUGCUUGUUUUCCUUCUCCGAACUGAGUAAUAACGUACAUUUGAAGCACUAUUUUGAAAAGCCAACUGUGGUUACAAAUACGAUUGUUAUAGUUACAUGAAUAUCUAUAUUAAUGAAGUCAUUUGAUGCUCAUUUGUAAUAAAUUAGCGUUAAACUUAACAUAUAUUCCCUUUUUUCUACUUUUAGCGAGACAUACAAGACAUGUAAUAGUUAUAGGAUACCAAACAUUAGAAGCUACGUUACAUAGAGCAAUUACACAGAUUUAAUCGAAAUACAAUGAGCAUAUUGCUCUUUAUUAUAAUAUUGAGUGUCACACAUGUCACAAGAUGAUUUCCGUGUGUACAUUAACAGAAUCUUUAUGGUGGUCUAAUAUUUAGUGCUGGCUGGUUAUUGACAACCAAAUUAUGUGCCCCUUUUACUUUUAGUCGUUGUUCUGCUCUGAACAGAACACAACUUUAAUUUUGUCCUUUCGGGUACUGUGUAAUUUUAAUUUUGUGUUAUCUAAUGUUAUUUGUAAUUACCAAUGAAAAUCAAAGUAGACAUCCUUAGUGAGUAUUUGUUGCUUUGGUUUGUAGGGCUGAAUCAGUUCUAUUGUGAAUGGCUAAAUGUAUAUGAUUUUGCCCUCAUCUUUUCUGAGUAUUUGUAUUAUUUAUUGAGAGGUAUCCAACUAUCAAUAUCAGAAUGAAAUUAGUCUGCCUUUAUCGUUUGGCCUUUUAUACAAAUGUAAUUCUGCAAAUGUAUUGUUAUACCGGUUGUCUGUUAAGAUCUCUACUCCAUCGUCACCUCUUAUGUUCAGAAUUCAAUCUGAAUUUAUGUAUAUACAUUUUCUUUUUCAUUUGCUGCUUUUGUUUUAUUAUAGUCCUUGCCAAGAAGCCUUCGGGUGGGUGGUUUGGUGGCCUAGUUUUUUGGUUUCUAUCUACCUUUUUUGUGGGCAGGCAGUUUUUUGGAUGCUUGUAUUACACAAAAUUUCUAGUCCUUCGGCCCCCUAUCUUGUGUUUUGUGUAGAUAUUUAUUUUUUAUAUGUGUGUAUAAUAGGGGGUUAUGGUUGCAUUCAGCACCACAUGUUUUAUUACUAUGUAACAUGUUUUUGAAUGCCCCCUAUUUUGUAUUCAUCUUUUCAUCAUUUACUAAAUAAAUGACAAUUUUCAUUCUUACACGUGUUCUGUUUUAUGCCUACUUUUGCAAAAAACAAGCUCAGUCUCCUUGGCUAGAAAUAAAAGCUAAGGAACAUAAAUUAGUGAUUAUUGUAAAUAAUAACGUUUAUGUGACGUGCUGUGUUUAUUUCUUUGUUUAUCUCACUUUACACUGUUCCAUACUUUGCUUAUGUAGUCUCCUGAAGUCUAUGUUUACCCUAACCCUUAAUUUGUGCUUCUAGUCCAAUCAGAUGUGUUCAAUUUGUAACGUGUCUCUUAUUGAUCUGUUUAUUUUUAACAAGAAGCCACGCAAUUGUUGUGCAGUGAAAUUUUUACCCACCGUCCACCCCUUCUACCUCCUUAGAUAGUUAUUUAUAUUUGUUAUUUUUGGCCUAGUGUUUUUGGUUUCUACCCACCUUUUUUAUGGGCAGGCAGUUAUUUGGAUGCUUGUUUUUACUUAUGUGUCCACAGUAGGGGUUCUGUCAUGUAUUUUUUGUACAUGUAUUACAUACAAUUUCUAGUCCUUUGGCCCCCUAUCUUGUGUUUUGUGUAGAUAUGUAUUUUCCAUAUGUGUGUAUAAUAGGGGGUCAUGGUUGCAUUCAGCACCACGUGUUUUAAUACUAUGUAACAUGUUUUUGAAUGCCCCCUAUUUUGUAUUUAUCUUUUCGUCAUUUACUAAAUAAAUGACAAUUUUUAUUUUUACUCAUGUGUUUUCUUUUAUGCCUGCUUUAGCAAAAAACAAGCUAAGGUUCCUUGGCUAGAACAUAAAAGCUAAGGAACAUAAACAUAUUUACGACGUCAAUAGUGGUUUACAUUGAUACGAAUUUCUCGUAUAUCAUUUAAUUGUUAACUUAGAAAUAUGCCACAAACGCAUUAUCAAUCCUGCUUUCUGUUUUUGGUAAAUGUUUUAUUUUCAUUAGAAUUCUUUUUUUAUAAUAAUGAUAUACUUUGAAAGCAUAUGAAAACGGUUGCUGUUUUAUUACAAGACUGUUUAUCUGAAUAUCAGAUGCAAAAGAAAAUAAGUCAAAACCAAAAUAAUUUUGGUUUCAAGUAUUUUAAUGUUCAAUCCACACAAUGUUCAUCCAUCAUUUUCUAUUUUAACUAUGUCCAAUGGUUUGUGAUACGUUUUAU